AUUGAACGCUGGCGGAAUGCUUUACACAUGCAAGUCGAACGGUAGAGGGGCAACCCCUUGAGAGUGGCGAACGGGUGAGUAAUAUAUCGGAACGUGCCCAGUCGUGGGGAUAACGUAGCGAAAGUUACGCUAAUACCGCAUACGAUCUAAGGAUGAAAGCGGGGGAUCGCAAGACCUCGCGCGAUUGGAGCGGCCGAUAUCAGAUUUAGGUAGUUGGUGGGGUAAAGGCUCACCAAGCCAACGAUCUGUAGCUGGUCUGAGAGGACGACCAGCCACACUGGAACUGAGACACGGUCCAGACUCCUACGGAGGCAGCAGUGGGAAUUUUGGACAAUGGACGCAAGUCUGAUCCAGCCAUUCCGCGUGCAGGAUGAAGGCCCUCGGGUUGUAAACUGGCUUUUGUACGGAACGAAAAGGUCUCUCUUAAUACGGGGGGCUCAUGACGGUACCGUAAGAUAAGCACCGGCUAACUAACGUGCCAGCAGCCGCGG
rnacentral:rRNA from 1 species